UCAAAAUAAUUUAAGGUAGUAAUAAUUUUUAUUUAAACCUAUUUUAAUUUGGCGGCAUAACAUCUAAUUAGAGGAAUUUGUCUAUUAAUUGAUAAUCCACAAUAAAUUUUACUUUUUUAAAACUUAUAUACCGCCAUCAAAAGAGUUAAUUUAAAAUAUUGUUCUAAAUAAUUAUUAAAAGUUAUAGGUCAAGGUGUAGUUUAUAUAAAGUAUAGUUGAAUUACAUUAAAAUAAAUUUAAGGAUUUUUUUUAUUAAAAUUUUAAAUGAAAAUAGGAUUUAAAAGUAAAAAUUUAUAAUAAUAAUAAUUUUUGAAUUUGUUAGAAAUGUACACAUAUCGCCCGUCAUCCUUUUUUUAAAAAAAGGU
rnacentral:rRNA from 1 species